rnacentral:rRNA from 1 species
CCUACGGGUGGCAGCAGUAGGGAAUAUUGCUCAAUGGGGGCAACCCUGACGCAGCAACGCCGCGUGGUGGAUGAAGGUUUUCGGAUUGUAAACUCCUUUUGUUAGAGAAGAAAAUGACGGUAUCUAACGAAUAAGCACCGGCUAACUACGUGCCAGCAGCCGCGGUAAUACGGAGGGUGCAAGCGUUACUCGGAAUCACUGGGCGUAAAGUGAGCGUAGGCGGGAGAGCAAGUCAGGUGUGAAAUCCUAUGGCUUAACCAUAGAACUGCUUUUGAAACUGUGAUUCUAGAGUAUGGGAGAGGUAGGUGGAAUGCGUGGUGUAGCGGUGAAAUGCGUAGAGAUCAAGAGGAAUACU